GCUUGCUGAAUACACGACCGGCGCACGGGUGAGUACACGUUUGCACCUUCCUCUAACUGGAGAAUAGCCCGAAGAAAUUCGGAUUAAUACUCCAUAAAGUCAAUUUAAGGCAUCUUUUAUUGAUUAAAGCUCCGGCGGUUAGAGAUGGGCAUGCGUGUCAUUAGCUAGUUGGUGAGGUAACGGCUCACCAAUGCCACGAUGACUAGGGGGUCUGAGAGGAUGAUCCCCCACACUGGUACUGAGACACGGACCAGACUCCUACGGGAGGCAGCAGUGAGGAAUAUUGGGCAAUGGACGCAAGUCUGACCCAGCCAUGCCGCGUGCAGGAUGACUGCCCUAUGGGUUGUAAACUGCCUUUGUUUGGGAAGAAACCCCCGAUCGUGAUCGGGGCUGACGGUACCAUACGAAUAAGCAUCGGCUAACUCCGUGCCAGCAGCCGCGGUAAUACGGAGGAUGCAAGCGUUAUCCGGAUUCAUUGGGUUUAAAGGGUGCGCAGGCGGAAUAUUAAGUCAGUGGUGAAAUCCUGCAGCUUAACUGUAGAACUGCCAUUGAUACUGAUAUUCUUGAAUAUAGUUGAGGUGGGCGGAAUGUGUAAUGUAGCGGUGAAAUGCUUAGAUAUUACACAGAACACCAAUUGCGAAGGCAGCUCACUAAACUAAUAUUGACGCUGAGGCACGAAAGCGUGGGUAGCAAACAGGAUUAGAUACCCUGGUAGUCCACGCUGUAAACUAUGAUCACUCGCUGUUGGCAAUACAUCGUCAGCGGCUGAGCGGAAAGCAUUAAGUGAUCCACCUGGGGAGUACGGUCGCAAGAUUGAAACUCAAAGGAAUUGACGGGGGCCCGCACAAGCGGAGGAACAUGUGGUUUAAUUCGAUGAUACGCGAGGAACCUUACCUGGGCUUAAAUGCAGAGCGACGUCCGCCGAAAGGUGGAUUCCUUCGGGCGAUCUGCAAGGUGCUGCAUGGUUGUCGUCAGCUCGUGCCGUGAGGUGUCGGGUUAAGUCCCAUAACGAGCGCAACCCUUAUCGUUAGUUGCCAGCGGGUAAUGCCGGGGACUCUAACGAAACUGCCGGUGUAAACCGUGAGGAAGGUGGGGAUGACGUCAAAUCAGCACGGCCCUUAUGUCCAGGGCUACACACGUGUUACAAUGGUCGGUACAGAGGGCAGCUACCACGCAAGUGGAUGCUAAUCUCGAAAACCGGUCUCAGUUCGGAUUGAAGUCUGCAACUCGACUUCAUGAAGCUGGAUUCGCUAGUAAUCGCGCAUCAGCCAUGGCGCGGUGAAUACGUUCCCGGGCAUUGUACACACCGCCCGUCAA
rnacentral:rRNA from 1 species